ensembl:lncRNA
CAGACGCAACCAAGACAGACAGAUGAACAACAAAAACACUGGUUAAGUGAUUCAGAAGGAACUGCAAAUGAAACGCCCCACAACAGAAGCCGUUCGGUUUCUGGUACUGAUUACCAGGUUGGAGUCUCAUCUGAGAAGGUGGAGCGAUCGCAAGUCUGCACGUCACUGCGGUGAUCCAGUGGGAGGAGGCAGCCCACCCGGGCCCAUCAGCCGUCGAUCUGGAUUUCCUCCUGUGCGCAGGCGAUUGGCCACCCUGUGCAUGGUUCACUUGGGUGUGACUGCGAGCCCUGCUUAGUUCUGUGAAAGUCACAGAGAGCCUACGUGCAGCAAAAGCAGAGAAACAGAGCAGAAACUGCACAGCUGAUGGAGUGUGAGGAGAAGAAAUCUGAACAUCAUUGUCUAAAUCUUUAUAUAAGGCUUCUAAACCUAACUGUCAAAGUUCAUUCAGCUGAGCUAAAAUACAAAACAAGGUACUUAGUGGCUUUGAAAUAAAACUAGAGAUUAUCGCAAGUGCUGCAGUUGUUCAAAUUCAGCUCCUGCCAAGUUUUCACACCACCGAUGCUUCUAAGAACAGAGAAACCUACCUUAGAAGCUUCUUCCCAAUUUGUAUCUUGCUAUUUUCAGUAUUAAAUUUAGAACAGUGUCUAAAUGAAACGUCUCAUCUUGUUUGUGGUGGCAUUCUUUUAAUGACAUUGUACCUCAUACACUUGACAUAAAGACUCAUACUGAGUGCUGCAGCUCCGUGGCAAGCAAAGCACCAUCCUGUAAAUGAAAGGAUCGCAUUCUCUUUGCAGGUUUUGUUCCUUCUGGCAAGCUAGAAGAUGUAAAAUAUGAACUGGAGAAAAAGGAGAGGAAGGAAGCAUCACACAUCAUCUAGCUAACGUAUUUUAAACACACUGUUCUUUUGGAAUGGUUUUGGUAGAGUCAUGAAUAACAAAACUGUGCCAUCAUCAGUUUCCAGGAAAUCCUCUUUCCAAUAGUUCUCAAGACAUCAGCCUUUUUGUGCUGCUCAAACAGCUUCUCUCCUGAACAAAUCACAAGGAUUUUAUUUUAAUCCAUGCAUAUUGUUUUAAGUGUAUAACUGAUGGGUUAUUAAAACAGGCAAUAGACCAUUAGCUGUGUGAAAAUUAGCGUGGAUUAAACCAAGCUUGUUCAGGUUCCGUCAGGGGUUCAAACAGCAAUGCAAGACACGUGGCCAAAUGCGCUAACUAACUGCUAGAGCCAAGAUGUAUUUGAUUUAUUGGCUUGAUAACCAUAGCUGACUUUGAGAUUGUCUAGGUCCUCUGAGUUUGAAGGGGUUCAAGUGAGGAGACUCUGUUUGAGUCUGUUUGUAUUUUAAAGGCAGAACGUGGCACUGAGGGUCAUGGUUAGCGGGCAUGGUGUUGGUGUGUUGAUGGUUGGACCAGAUGAUCUUAGUGGUGCUUUCUAACCUUAAUGAUUUAAUGAUUGUAUAGCUGAGCAAGUAUUAUAGGAUGCAUAUAUUAAAAAUGAAACUUCAACCAACGGGAAAAGAUAGCGUUUAGGUAGAUAAUGCCCGGGGAAAUCCCUGUAGUGAAAGCAUAGAAUUUAACCAUUGAUAAACCACCAGAGUACAAUUAGUUAACUGAAAAUCCGUCUGGAAAACAAAUCAGAAGUGCUAAGAAAAACUGUCUUGCUGCCUGCUGAAUUUAAUCAUCUUGCUUAUAGAAACUGUUACAGCAUUCGGUGUUAUAGGACUCCAUUUUUAAUGUACUUACAAUAUGUAAGAUACACUUAGGUAACUACAGCAUGUGUUUGUUCUACAGUUUUACUGGUGCAAGGCAAACAACUGUUGUUAAAGUGAGACUUUCGUGUUAUCAGAUAAAAGCAUGAAACGAGCUUCUAGGAAAAUGGGUUCCAGGUAGGAAAGGUGCCUCUGACUAUCACGCCAAAGCAGGCAUGCUAGUGAUAAAGAAAUAAGCUCCCACCUGGGAGAAAAGUUGCUGCUCCUCCUUCAGAGCAGUAAAGUACAAAAGGGACUCAGAAGAGCUAUGAGGAAAAAGAAAACAACUAUUUGUUAAGAGAAGCAUGUUAAUUUGGAAAGCAGAAUUAUUCAUAAAACAACCGGUACCUCAUAACACUAAUAACACAACUAGCACAUACAUAUACAUGAAUACUAGUAUAUAUACAACUUGUAUAUUCAUAAAACAACUAUGCUUGUACAAUUAGGGAAAAGCUGCCCAUCAAGAAAGGUAACUGCCUGUUAAUGAAUUGAGGCAGCUACUAUGUCACUACCAAUAAAUUCCAUUUUUUUUCUAGCAAUUUUGGUGUGGGCAUCAAAUUAACUUUUCUACAGAGGAGAAGCUCUUAUACAAAAGCCAUCUGACAGCAGGUUGGGGCAGUUCUAAUAAAAAAAAAUGCAAUGAAAUGGUUGUUGACUGAAGGGAAUGAGGAACGGGUUUCUAGCAGAGUAAACAGGUAAUGGAGAAGUUCAACCACAAGACUGCUUGUAAACCAGCACUGCCAUUUCACAUUUCUACUGUAUCCAAAUGGAUUGCUUCUUCAUACAACUGAUGCAUGGAUGAUUAUCCAUACAAUGUAGGCAGAUUUUUCUGAAAUAAUUAUACAGAAAGCUGAAGUUGGAGCUGAAUUCACAGAAUUACCACAGGAACAGAGAGGAGACUGCAGGCCUGCCCCAGGCCAUCGGGCCCGCAGGGCUACACUGAGGCGGUAGACAGCACUGCCUGCAUUUCUGCCCAUGAGGUUCCACAUGGAAAAAGUCCAUGGAGGGUGUUGCACGGAAGCCCCAGGAGACCUAUGUAAACUGUCACAAAGUUUACAGUGAGUAUCUUAUUUCCUGAUCUCUAUUACCCUAAUGAGAUAAUUAGAAGUUUAUUUUAAUACUGAGGUGUCAUGAAAACUCUCUUUGGGUCAAAGAGUGCAGGUGAGUAAAGUUCGCGGGGUAUAUUUCCUGUAUUUCUUAGCUCAAGUCACCAAGUAAUUUCUUCCUUCAGCACGUUAAAAAAGCAGUGACCAAUACCACCCAUAUGCUGUCCAUCUCCAGGAUUUCCAUUUGUCAGGUUCCACAUCAGAAACAUUGCAGAGGCAGCAUCUCUCUUAUUUUUCAGUUCUCUUUCAUAGACUACAGAAGUACUAAAUAAUCUUGUAACACUUCAAAAAAGCUUCACGUUGAACCCACAGAAAGCUCAAGUUCUGGAAUAUAGUAAUCCAUACCAGCACCUGUCUCAGGCAGUUGGUGGAAUCACAGAACAUCUUAGGUUGGAACUAAUUUAAAUUUUUUUUAAAAAAAACUAUAAAAAACUAUAUAAAAAACUAUAAAAACUAUAAAAAACUAUAAAACUAUUUAAAAAAAAUAUUUUUUUAACAGCACAGUUACUGCCAUCUCAUAUCUCCUACUGCUGAGUGCUCUAUUGGAGCUGCAGGAGCAUUUGGUCUGCAGAUCUUGAAGCCUUUUUGGCUGCUUCUUUGCCACCUAAUGGUGCCUGUAGAGCCCUGGUAAGCAAUGCUUUCUCUUUCUGUUCUCUGAAGACCUCUCUGCUUCCUGCCACUUGCAAGGAGUGGAGCAGCUCCUUCAGCUCCACUUUCCCCUAUAAAACCUGGAGGUGGCUCAAUAAGGAAGGAGUCGCACAAAAUGGCUGCAACGUACAUGGCACAUAAUAGGGCUUUAUGUCAGACCUCUAAAUUCAAGAGAGCAAUAACUAUAGCUGCAGAGAAAUACCAGAAGAAUUUCAAGCUCUCUUUCAUGUUUGUUCAGCUCUUACCCACACCAUACCUGCUUCUGUAGGGCUGGCAGAACAGCUUAUUUAUAUGUCUGGUUUCUGAGUGGGGGUUUUCAAAUGAAGACAAAAAAAUUAAGUGCUAAGGCUACUCAGAAUUUGAGUUUUAGGUACUUUUUACAUCCACAUUGCAUGACUCAGAGUACCAAGAGUUUCAUUCUCAGCAGUAUUCCCAGAAGCGUUAAGUGCUGAGAGCCAAGUUUUCAGUGAAUGAAUGGCUCUUUCAUACACACACAUGAUGCAGUAAGUAAGAACCCUGUCGAGGAUGCAGUAAGUAAGAACCCUGUCGAGACCCAGUUAGUGGGGGACCGUACCCCAAGGUCCCCAUACAGACUGUGGAAAAGUAAAAAGACCACUGUAGGAGGCACUUCCCAUUUGGAUAGAUGCUACUGACUGUGUUCUCAGAAUAGCAGCAGCCCCACAUAACAAACAAUCUGAUUUGCUUACAUCUUUUUUGAACCACAGCACUUUGUAUGUUGUUCAAGGCCCUUUCAGAUGUCAGAGAAGAUCUUCAUACAACCUAAAUUUUCUGAGGUAAAUUUUGAUUUAUUUAAAGAGAUCUGACAUUCAGAAAGUCCUGUUGCCCAGUUCCUGACAAUGAAGCCCUGGGAAACUACUGUAUGACGCUUACUCAAACAUUAUUCAGUUUUCAAAAGUUGACUUAAAUUACAUUGCGAGUAAUCUAAGCCCACUGAGGACUAGUCCUCUUCUUCUAACCUCACCCUCUGGUUGGUAUUGAUUCUUGUAACCAAAAUGGCAUUUAUAAUUGUACGGCUAAUUAAAUGGGAUUGGUAGUUUCAUUUAUUGUUUUUAAAUGAGCCCACAAUAAUGCUGCAGUAAGGCUGAGACUAUCUGAAUAUGAUGUGUUUCAUAAACCCUCUGCUCAUUUCAGACAGAGAUUAAGUAAUCCUUACUCUUGAAAUAGGAAAGUGUGUCAUCAGACAAAAAGCUCCGAUGCUUAAGAUCAUACUGAAAUAGUCAUUCUGUUUGUUCAGCUGUACAUAUCAUGAUAAGUCUGAGCUCACUGCCUUUCUGUAUUAUAAAGGCACUCUACUUUAAAUCGCUUAUCUUUUCUAAGCAUAUGCUUAAAUACCCCUGGAUAGAGAGAAAAGAAGAAAGAAGAAAGGAGGAAGGGAAUGAAAGGGAAGGGGAGGGUAGAUGUAAAGGACUUGUUGUUUUUGAUUAAUAGUGAUUAGUGAUGCUAAAACUAAUCAGAAAAGUAGCAAUGGGUUCUAAGCAGGUUUAAAGACAGAAUCUUCCUCCUCUCUAGACCCAUCUGUAUUUGAACGUGACAUCUUCCUCCUUCACAAUUCACAGUGACCAAAAUAAGAAUAUCAAUAGCGUGGGUAGAAAACCAGAAGAUGAAAGCACAAACAAAAAUAUCUGUGGUCAUGUGUACCUGUCUGAAAUAUGCAUUUGAAGAGGAGAGCAAUCCAUGUGCUGAACAGUCACAAAGAUAUCAGUCCUCUUGGGUUAAGGAAUAAGUUCAGCUAGAAAACAGGUUAGCUUCAGUGCAACAUGCAAACUGAAAAUGUUCUAUGCUUAUUAUAAAGCCAAAUUUGAGUAUGCAUUCACGUGGAGGCCAGAGAACAUCCCUUUAUCCAGGCACCCCUCCCCUCCCAACACCUGCAUCCGAAGCAGAGGGAACCUCGAGCUUCUCAGAGACAAGGGUGCCACAGUCACAUUUUUUCUCUAUCACACCCUGUCAAGAACAAUUUCUAGAUGUGUUUUAUAGUGCUUUGUAAAUAUUUGACAUUUUUUUUCCUAUGCUUGCUUACUUUUCUUUAAACUCAUAGGUCAUAUGCAUAAGCAUAUAUGACCAUAAGUAUUGGCACAGCUGUGGUUGUGUAGUGAGAAUGAGUAUGACCACUGCCGGUGGGUGGGACCUACUCAUCACUUCAAGUUAGGUACAUGUUUAAGAGAUUUGUUUGAUAUGGACACCACAUCAAAGCUCCACAGACACCAUAUCAAAGCUCCACAAAGCUCCACAGAGCUCCACAGUAAGUGCUGUGUUGAGCCAGGGCCUAAAUGUAGUUUGCCAUGUGGGGCCUUCUUGGCUUCGCUGAUUACCUACCUGGCAGCCUCGCUCUCUUAGAUGAGAACUCCUUCACUUCAGAACCUGUGUUCAGCAACUUAAAGCCUACUUUCUCAUAGUAAGAAAACAGUGAUUAUACUCUCAUGGUAAAACGUUGAAUUAAUACUCUCUUGAGCCGAGAUUACAAGAUUAGGAGAUCAUCAUAAAAAUCUGAAAACACUGCAUAUUAGGAGUUAUAACACUCAUAUUAGGAGUUACACAAACUACAAAUAAAAAUGUUGUCUGCUGCCUUUUGUAAAAUUCUGCUUACAUUUUCUUUCUUUCCUUUUAAAAUACCGUGUAACUAGAGUUUUAUGUCUUGCCAAGUUUAGCCAGGUGAGAAAACAUGAACCUCUUUUUCUUAACUAAAGGGGAAAUAUGAAACAGUUAUAGUAGCAAAGCAAACUUAUUAGCAUACUUUUUCUGCUUUUUUUCCUUCCAAAAUCUUCUGUGAAUCCAAUUUUUCCAUAAAAUACGGUUGUUCAAAUAAACCGUGGGCUGUGCAGGAGCCACCAAACUCAUGGCUUACAAAACAAUCCUCAUAUUCCAGCACAACCACUUUAGGUCAUUGAAACUUGACCUGUGGCUGGAAUGUUGCCCG